rnacentral:lncRNA from 1 species
GGGUACCUGUGUAAUAUGAGCAAAGUGUAAAGCCUCUUGGUAGAUGAGCUGUGUCUUAUUUUGAGAAUCAUCAAGAUCAGAUAAUACAACGAUGCUGAACAACUUUAGAAGAAAAGGAGGCACUAACGAGGGAACCUCAGAGCACAGCGAAGAUGUAAUUGGAUUUUUAUACACCUGUUCACUAAAGAUGGCUCAAUGAUAGUUCCUGAACGAACACAGAC